AGGAGUUGUGCCUGAAAGGGAACCGGAACACAGGUGCUGCAUGGCUGUCGUCAGCUCGUGUCGUGAGAUGUUGGGUUAAGUCCCGCAACGAGCGCAACCCUUGUCCCUAGUUGCUACGCAAGGGCACUCUAGGGAGACUGCCGGUGACAAACCGGAGGAAGGUGGGGAUGACGUCAAGUCCUCAUGGCCCUUAUGGGUAGGGCUUCACACGUCAUACAAUGGCCGGUACAGAGGGUUGCCAAACCGCGAGGUGGAGCCAAUCCCAGAAAGCCGGUCGUAGUCCGGAUUGCAGUCUGCAACUCGACUGCAUGAAGUCGGAAUCGCUAGUAAUCGCGGAUCAGCAUGUCGCGGUGAAUACGUUCCCGGGUCUUGUACACACCGCCCGUCACACCAUGGGAGUGGAUGGUACCAGAAGUGGGUAGUUUAACCGCAAGGGGAACGCUUACCACGGUAUGAUUCAUGACUGGGACGAAGUCGUAACAAGGUAGCCGUAA
rnacentral:rRNA from 1 species